CCUACGGGUGGCAGCAGUGAGGAAUAUUGGUCAAUGGACGAGAGUCUGAACCAGCCAAGUAGCGUGAAGGAUGACUGCCCUAUGGGUUGUAAACUUCUUUUAUAUGGGAAUAAAAUGUUCCACGUGUGGGAUUUUGUAUGUACCAUAUGAAUAAGGAUCGGCUAAAUCCGUGCCAGCAGCCGCGGUAAUACGGAGGGUCCGAGCGUUAUCCGGAUUUAUUGGGUUUAAAGGGAGCGUAGGUGGAUUGUUAAGUCAGUUGUGAAAUUUUGCGGCUCAACCGUAAAAUUGCAGUUGAAACUGGCAUUCUUGAGUACAGUAGAGGCAGGCGGAAUUCGUGGUGUAGCGGUGAAAUGCUUAGAUAUGACGAAGAACUCCGAUUGCGAAGGCAGCUCACUGGACUGCAACUGACACUGAGGCUCGAAAGUGUGGGUAUCAAACAGGAUUAGAUACCCUGGUAGUC
rnacentral:rRNA from 1 species